AGAGUUUGAUCCUGGCUCAGGACGAACGCUGGCGGCGUGCUUAACACAUGCAAGUCGAACGAGGGCCCGGAGCUUGCUCUGGUGACCCGAGUGGCGGACGGGUGAGUAACACGUGACCAACCUACCUUCGGGAGGGGGACAACCUGGGGAAACCCGGGCUAAUACCGCAUAUCGUCCACGGGCCGCAUGGCCUGUGGAUAAAAGGGAGCCUCUGCUUGCAAGCUCUCACCCGAAGAGGGGGUCGCGGCGUAUCAGCUAGUUGGUGGGGUAAUGGCCUACCAAGGCAUCGACGCGUAGCGGGUCUGAGAGGACGACCCGUCACAUUGGGACUGAGAUACGGCCCAGACUCCUACGGGAGGCAGCAGUGGGGAAUAUUGCGCAAUGGCCGAAAGGUUGACGCAGCGACGCCGCGUGUGGGAGGACGCCCUUCGGGGUGUAAACCACUGUCAGGGGGGAAGAACUUCGUAGGUGUUAAUAGCACUUGCGGUUGACGGUACCCCCAGAGGAAGCGCCGGCUAACUCCGUGCCAGCAGCCGCGGUAAGACGGAGGGCGCAAGCGUUGUUCGGAAUUACUGGGCGUAAAGGGCAUGCAGGUGGUCUGUCAAGUCUUCUGUGAAAACCCGGGGCUCAACCCCGUGGAAAUGCAGGGGAAACUGGCAUACUUGAGACCGGUAGAAGCUAUCGUAAUUCCUGGUGUAA
rnacentral:rRNA from 1 species